GUGUAUUUCCAUAUCAUAGCCUUUAAAAAGUUUGUCCUGGAAAGUACUCGUGAAGCCAUCAAACCCAAGAUAGCCUAUCAUCAGAGAAACUCCCCAGACCGUGCUUUCCCUUCCUCUAUUGAAGGGACUGAUGUCAUCUGCACCCUGAUACAGAAUAAAUAAUGAACAACCCACAGUUACUAGGAAUGCCAAAAGAUAGUCCUGUCCUUGGUACUUCUUUUGCAUAAUGAUAGCACCCCAGAUCAUUACAGGUAUCAUCUUGGCACAUUUUGCCAGGGUUUGAACAGGAAAACUAACAUACUUGAGAGCCUCAUACUGACAAGUAGUUGUAAGGAUGUUAGAAACAGAAACAACACCAUAUUUAUAGAGUGGAGCUACUGGGUCCAAGGCCUUCUUACUUGCCAGUAAAA
rnacentral:misc_RNA from 1 species